UACGUAGGGGGCAAGCGUUAUCCGGAAUCACUGGGCGUAAAGGGUGCGUAGGUGGCUGAUCAAGCCAGAGGUGAAAGGCAUUGGCUCAACCAAUGUAAGCCUUUGGAACUGAUCGGCUUGAGUGCAGGAGAGGUAAGUGGAAUUCCUAGUGUAGAGGUGAAAUUCGUAGAUAUUAGGAGGAACACCAGUGGCGAAGGCGACUUACUGGACUGUAACUGACACUGAGGCACGAAAGCGUGGGGAGCGAACAGG
rnacentral:rRNA from 1 species